AAAUGUAGAAAACACUCGCCUGCGACUCGUAUUUUCUACAUUUCCCUCGUGUUCUCAAAUACCCGCCGUGUUUUAUCGCAGUGUAAUAUACGGCUCAGGCUUUUUUAUUUGUUAAGUGCGAUUCAAGUCUAUAUCAUAAAGCAUUUUAAGAGGUUAAAACCAUGCAUUACACUGCUGGCUUAAAGCGUUCAUAACUGGAAUUUGGGAACAUUUGGCCCUAUUUUUUGCAUUUUUCUCGUAUUCUCAAAUUCCCGUCUUGCUUUCUGAUACUGUAUUACAUGCUUCUUACUUCAAUUUUUAUCACCUUUUCGGUGCACUUCGGAUGAGGAGGUUACCAUGAGAUGGCCCCAUGAGAUCAGCUUGAAAUGUUUUGUCUUGCUUCUGGAUGGAGACGAUUAUCAGAGAAGGCGCUUGCACAAUCGUUUAACCUGUUUUUGUUUUUAUUUUUUUUUUUAUCGCGGCGAAACUUAAUAUGAAUUUGUAUGACCUAUCUGAUAAAAAAAUCUCACGAUUUGUCAGGGGACAGUUUUAUUAUAAAAUAAAUAUUUCAGCCUUUCCCAACUCUCAAAGAAAUCCCGUUCAUACCCUUAACGGUUUGAGCAAAUGGCGCGUAGAGACCGUGCGGUGAUAAAGAGAGGAAAUUCCAUUGGAAGAGGAAAUGAAUGAGACGAAAUGCGAGAUUUUAGUACUUUCACUGACUCCAUUUCAAUAGUUUCCUUCCCACAGUCUCCCCCGUCACUUUUUGAGUAGCUGUCCACGUGGCUCGCUAGUCCUGACACUUCUACUUGUUCAUUUCCACUUCAAGUCUUGAUGCACCAAACGAGCACCAUUGUCUCUAAACUCCGGAAUCACUUCGCAGACGUAGUGACCAAUCUCUUCAGUUCAUCACAACCAAACAUUAAAUUUUCCAUGUCCUCUCUGAGCAUUUUUUUCUGUUUUACCCGCGCCUCCCCUCCCUUCCCGUUUUGUUGUGCUAUUUCCCACUAAUCUUUGCGAGUGUAUUUCGUCUCCGCCAUUGUGCACGUGUGCAAGAAAAACAGAAGAAAAUUGAGCGCGCGCCACUUUCACAGCCAGGAGGCGGAAUGAGGAGGCGUUUUGUUUGUUGACGACCUCGACCUGCACCUGUAGUCGUCCAGAAUAAGAAGAAAUGUAAACAGGAAAGAAAUUGAAUCAAAACCUUGACAAUAAGGAUGACGUAAAAUUAGUCCAUGGCAGAUCAGAUGCCAACAAGGACAGUGGAUCACAGCCUCAAGCAGCAGUAAAACUUGCUGUAUGUUCUAUUUUGCAAUUCAACCUUUGGAGGAGCCAGGUAAACAGCUCUCGAAUAAGCCAAGUUCUGCUCAGAUUUGUUGACUUCAGACAUGCAAUCUAUUCUGCCUUGUCCCAUUUGCAUAAUGAAUAAGAAGAGCUCUCAUUUAAACAGUGCAGUUUUCAAACCAGUAGGAAAUGAAAUUGUUUUGCUUGUAAAUUAUUCUUUAGCCAAACUGGUUCCAAGAUUGUACUCAAUAUGGUUUGAAUUUUUACUUGUGAAAAUUGUUGAACUUGAUGGACGACUGUGAAGCUGAAUUCACUAAUUGGACUACUGUAAUGUUUGACUGGUUGAUUCACUUACAGGCUGAUCUUUUGACCAAGUGAUUCACUAUGUGUAUUUGUCAGAGAGAUGAAACUAUUAUUAGACUCUGACUGAUUUUUACAUGAUUUGCUGCACGAUGGACAUACAGUGGAAUCCUGAUUUUUCGAACCUCCAAGGGAAACAAAAAUUGGUUAAAAAAAUUGGAGAUUUUGAGAAAUCGGAGGUAAAAUUACAGUGUUUGACUGAGGAGAGGGAAUGACUUUUGGUUCGAGUUAUAGGGAGGUUUGAAAAUAUGAGGGUUUGAGAAAUUGGGAUUGCUCUGUAUUGACAAAGUGACUGAGUACUGAACUGAUUGAUGAACCAAGUGAAAAACAGUCUACAUCUGUAGCUGAAUUUAAUUAUUUAUUAUUACUCAAAAGCUAACGCUGGGGAUUGCAUCAAGAUUUUAAAAUAAAUUGUCAGAUUAAAUGCAUCAAAUUAAGAGAUUGACAGGCAACUGAUUGAAAUUUAUUGGUGCCUCACUGACUGGAAGCUGAUGGAUUGAAUGACUAGAGAUUGAUUGAUUGAUUAUCUGAUUGUUUAAUGGUUUUUUUUGAGAAACUGGCAAAGAAAUAAUUCUAGAGAUUGAAUUGGCAAAUUUCACACAGACAGACAGACAGACUCACCAACUGAUCAACAAACAAACAGAUUACUGAUUAGCAAACUGACUCACAAACUACAUAGACAGAUAUACUGGCAAACUGUUCGACCGGUUCAUUAUUUGAUGAGUUGGUCCCCUGAUUGACACUCUGACAGACAGAGCCACGUACCAAUGGACUAACAAACGGACCAGUUAUUGGUGAACUGACUCACAACCAACCAUUUAACCAGUUCAUUAAUAAUUCAUGAGCUAGUUGCCUGAUUGACAGACGGACAGACCCAACAAACGAUCGACCAACAGACAGUCUAGUGAUUGACCAACUGACCUACAAACUAGAUAUAGACAGAUAUACUGGCCAACUGUUUGACCAGUUCAUUGAUUGCUGAGUUGCACCUGACUGACAGACAGACAAACAAUCAGAAAGACUGACCCAUUUCCGGUCAACCACCAAAAAGACUACUGAUUGGCAAGGUGACUCAUCAGCUAAAUUUUAACUUCAGUUUUUUAAGAGAGCCUCUGUUUAUUCAUGUGUUCAUGGGCUGCACUGUGCAGGGCUGUUUACAGCUCCUACAAAAUGUGUGAUUUUGAUACAGAACAUUGCAUGUCUGAGUUAUUUAAUGCAGUUGAACCUCCCUUAGUGACCACCUUGUGAAAAGUAGCCAUCUCGAGUUUCGUAUACGACUACGUUUUAAAGUUCCCAAAAUUGUCUUAUACAGCCAAGUUACUAACUUUUUUAUAAGUAAUCCCGUGGUGAUGCAAAAUUCAUAGGUGGUCUCCUAUGGGUGGUUCAGUUGUAUCUUCAAUUUAUUUACUGUAAACCUCAUGGGUACAUUUUCCUUACCUCUCCUCCACUGAGUCGAAAGUUAUUUAAGUCUUGAAGAACGUACUUUCAAUUUUUCGUGUUGUCGAAAUUUUUUACUUUUGCAUCAAGGUUUUGAAAAAAAAAACAUCAUGAGAUGUCAUUUGACUAAAACACUUAUUUUUCUGUCACUACUUCAUCAAGCAACUGUGGAAGGAAUGAGGAAAGACCGCAUUUUUUAGAACCUAUUUUUGCUUGAGCCUCUUUGGAAAAAAAAGAAAAGAACUUAAAACAAAUUAACGUUUCUCAGUUUUCAGCUGAUUUCGGGUGUUUUUAUAACCGCUGAUAAACGGCCUUUCACACAAUUGUUUUGAACAAUUGAAAUGCACAAAAAAAAUUACACGGUGCGUACAAACAGCAAGCAGAAAUUUGCAUAUCUACAUUUUGUUUUUACUAGUUGUUUUGCAUAGAUUUGAACUGUAGGUUUGACUACAGUUUUGCCGUAAUCUGGAAUGAUUUUCUUCAUGUUAAGCAGUUCAAAAAUUGCGGAAUUGAAAUUGCACUUCACAAAUUUGAGUGUUAAAUUGAAAGGUUGGUAAUCAUACAGUUGCUGGAGUUGUUUUAUUUUGAGCGCUUAAUUUAUCGUGCGCACAACAAAUUUAUUUCGGAACGUUUUCUCUUUGAUCUAUGAGCGAAUAUAAGCAGGGCAAACACCAAAAAAUAUUCAGUUCGUAUCCGGCUUUAAAUAUUCUCGAUUUUAUCGGCGAUUAUUUGGAAACUGGCUUUUAAAGGGAAGCCCAGUGGAGAGGUAUUGGAAAACGUUCUCAAACCAGUUCCAAGAGGGGCGAACAUUUUAUUUCUCCAUACCGUGUCAAUAUAUUUCCAAGAUAAGAGUAGACGAGUGAUAAGAGUACUUGCGAUAUUUUCUUGAUGUACAACCAAAUUCUCAUAUCAGAGAAACGUCGGGAAUUAUCAAGGAGAAAUAAUAUGUUCAGCUUGGGACAUAUAUAGGUGUUUACAGUAAAUGUUGAGGUCUCGUUCAAACUUAGCGGUGCGCUUGUACACUGGUUUUAGUAAACGGUUUGUUUCUGUUCCAAUGUACGCCAUAGAUACGUUUAAAAUUUAAUGUAGAAUUUUAAACAACUCAGUACACGGCUUUUCUAAGGGUCGUCACGCAACCAGACGCGACACCAUGUCACGCUUUUUUCCUUUGCGUGACGACCUCAAGAAGGGUUGUAUGUGAAGAAAAAACUGAAAGAGUCGGUAAGAAAUGCUAAAGAGACGUAUCUGUGGCGUACUUUGACAUGAGAAACGAACUGUUUACUGAAACUAAGUGCCAAUCGUACUGCAUGGUUUUCUCAAGACCUCUCCAGAACUUGGCUUAUUCCAGAGAGUUUAUCUGGUUCACUCAAACGGUUGGAUUGCAAAAUAAAACAAAACAGGAGAAAAGAUAACAAUAUUUUAUUGAAAUAAAAUUGUCUCUGUUGUCCAUUACUUUUAUUAAAAAAAAUAAAAAUAAAAGACCAAAAAAAAAAAAUAAAUCUAGCCGAAUUCACCCCUGCUUUUGGGUUGCUUCCACUCUGCUCAUCCGAGUUGAUGUUGUUUCUUUAGUCCUCAUUUAAUAUUCCAACUUUGAAAUCCUGCUCUGUUUUAUCUGAUCCCUUCUCCCAGCCGGGCACAGUUGAACACUUAGAAGAGUUGACCGUUUGCUCCCAAGUGGGAUGGACAGCGUAAAGGAAAGUGAGAGUUUGCUCCCUAUGCCUCCGGGGUCUCAGUCUUAAUUUGUCACAAUACCACACUCGAGUAAUUUUGGAAUUAAUAAGUUGGAAAUAAAUUAAAUGCCAAAUUCGUAAUUUGACUGAAGAUGCUAAUUCGCAAGUCAAUGCAUCGAAAAAAAUAGUGAUUUGCCAGAGUGCAAAAAUAUUAAAUAAGCUCGCCCUCCCGGAAUAUUUUGGAUGAAAACCUUUUUAAAAUUGGAAACUUCCGCAACCUGGACAAGAAAAACCGAAGCGCUAAAGUAUGGCGCUCAAUUUCAGUGCAUCACC